CCACGCCGUAAACGAUGAGUGCUAGGUGUUAGGGGGUUUCCGCCCCUUAGUGCUGAAGUUAACGCAUUAAGCACUCCGCCUGGGGAGUACGGCCGCAAGGCUGAAACUCAAAAGAAUUGACGGGGGCCCGCACAAGCGGUGGAGCAUGUGGUUUAAUUCGAAGCAACGCGAAGAACCUUACCAGGUCUUGACAUCCUCUGACAACCCUAGAGAUAGGGCUUUCCCUUCGGGGACAGAGUGACAGGUGGUGCAUGGUUGUCGUCAGCUCGUGUCGUGAGAUGUUGGGUUAAGUCCCGCAACGAGCGCAACCCUUGUCCUUAGUUGCCAGCAUUCAGUUGGGCACUCUAAGGAGACUGCCGGUGACAAACCGGAGGAAGGUGGGGAUGACGUCAAAUCAUCAUGCCCCUUAUGACCUGGGCUACACACGUGCUACAAUGGAUGGUACAAAGGGCAGCAAAACCGCGAGGUCGAGCAAAUCCCAUAAAACCAUUCUCAGUUCGGAUUGACAGGCUGCAACUCGCCUGCAUGAAGCCGGAAUCGCUAGUAAUCGCGAUCAGCUGCCGCGGAUUGCC
rnacentral:rRNA from 1 species